AGAUUUAGUGGCGAACGGGUGAGGAUCACGUGAGAAACCUGCCCCAGACUUUGGGAUAACAGUUGGAAACGACUGCUAAUACCGGAUGCCUUCAUUUGACCGCAUGGUUGUUUGAAGAAAGAUUUAUCGGUUUGGGAGGGUCUCGCGGCCUAUCAGCUUGUUGGUGGGGUAAUGGCCUACCAAGGCAACGACGGGUAGCUGGUCUGAGAGGAUGAUCAGCCACACUGGGACUGAGACACGGCCCAGACUCC
rnacentral:rRNA from 1 species